rnacentral:rRNA from 2 species
CUAUACAUGCAAGUCGAGCGAAUGGAUUAAGAGCUUGCUCUUAUGAAGUUAGCGGCGGACGGGUGAGUAACACGUGGGUAACCUGCCCAUAAGACUGGGAUAACUCCGGGAAACCGGGGCUAAUACCGGAUAACAUUUUGAACCGCAUGGUUCGAAAUUGAAAGGCGGCUUCGGCUGUCACUUAUGGAUGGACCCGCGUCGCAUUAGCUAGUUGGUGAGGUAACGGCUCACCAAGGCAACGAUGCGUAGCCGACCUGAGAGGGUGAUCGGCCACACUGGGACUGAGACACGGCCCAGACUCCUACGGGAGGCAGCAGUAGGGAAUCUUCCGCAAUGGACGAAAGUCUGACGGAGCAACGCCGCGUGAGUGAUGAAGGCUUUCGGGUCGUAAAACUCUGUUGUUAGGGAAGAACAAGUGCUAGUUGAAUAAGCUGGCACCUUGACGGUACCUAACCAGAAAGCCACGGCUAACUACGUGCCAGCAGCGGCGGUAAUAAA